rnacentral:rRNA from 1 species
CGGAGGAUGCAAGCGUUAUCCGGAUUUAUUGGGUUUAAAGGGUGCGCAGGUGGUUUAAUAAGUCAGUGGUGAAAGUCUGUCGCUUAACGGUAGGAUUGCCAUUGAUACUGUUAGACUUGAAUAUGGGUGAGGUAAGUGGAAUGUGUAGUGUAGCGGUGAAAUGCAUAGAUAUUACACAGAACACCGAUUGCGAAGGCAGCUUACUAAUCCAUCAUUGACGCUGAGGCACGAAAGCGUGGGGAGUCAAACAGGAUUA